rnacentral:rRNA from 1 species
GAUGAACGCUGGCGGCGUGCUUAAUACAUGCAAGUCGAACGAAGAGCCUUUGUAGCAAUACGAGGGUUUCUUAGUGGCGAACGGGUGCGUAACGCGUUGGUGACCUGCCCCGAAGUGUGGGAUAACAGUUCGAAAGGACUGCUAAUACCGCAUGUGGUCACGAGGGUUAGAGGCUUUGUGACUAAAGCAGUAAUGCGCUUCGGGAGGGACCUGCGUCCCAUCAGCUAGUUGGUGAGGUAACGGCCCACCAAGCCGACGAUCGGUAGCCGACCUGAGAGGGUGAACGGCCACAUUGGAACUGAGAGACGGUCCAAACUCCUACGGGUGGCAG